rnacentral:rRNA from 1 species
CCUACGGGAUGCUGCAGUGAGGAAUAUUGGUCAAUGGGCGCGAGUCUGAACCAGCCAAGUAGCGUGAAGGAUGACUGCCCUACGGGUUGUAAACUUCUUUUAUUAAGGAAUAAAGUGAGGCACGUGUGCCUCUUUGUAUGUACUUUAUGAAUAAGGAUCGGCUAACUCCGUGCCAGCAGCCGCGGUAAUACGGAGGAUCCGAGCGUUAUCCGGAUUUAUUGGGUUUAAAGGGAGCGUAGAUGGGUUGUUAAGUCAGUUGUGAAAGUUUGCGGCUCAACCGUAUAAUUGCAAUUGAUACUGGCAGCCUUGAGUACAGUUGAGGUAGGCGGAAUUCGUGGUGUAGCGGUGAAAUGCUUAGAUAUCACGAAGAACUCCGAUUGCGAAGGCAGCUCACUGGACUGCAACUGACACUGAUGCUCGAAAGUGUGGGUAUCAAACAGGAUUAGAUACCCCAGUAGUC